UCCGCCUUGCACGACCCUCAUCCCCAUCACGUUGGUCGUUACCACUUGGGGUUUUCCUGGUUUCACUUGAGUGAUCUCCCGAAGCGGAUUCUCCACUUCGCUGGUGGACGUCGUUCCAGUUCUGAUGGGUCUUCUGGCUGGUUGUUAGGUCACCGCCAGCUCUUCAAGGACCGUGGAGGUGAGGUUUCGCCUUUCCUGACUAGAGCUCAACGAUUCCAUCCCGCUCCUGGCCACCUUUGGCGUCCUUCGGCUUGUAAUGCAUCACCCCCACAGCUGCCUCCAGCCUCGCACGGCACUCGCCCUGCAGGUGUCUGUCCCAGGAUCGCCCUUUAGCUGAGGACACCGGUCGUUCCGGACGGAAGCCCAUUCUGAGGACCUCAUUUUAACUUGAUGACCGCAGCAACGACCCUCCCUCCAAAUAAGGUCACGUUCUGAGGUGCUGGGGGUUAGCCCUUCAGCAUGAAUAUGGCUUUGGGGGAGACACAGUUUAAUCUGGAGCAGUCAGCCUGACAUCGAGGCACAGAUUUUCCUCCGAAUCUAAAACUGCGCCACUGGCCUUAACCUUCUGAUCCCCAGCCACUCAGCCUUUGGUUCUACUUGUAUCAUUAAAGAUAGGUUUGUCAUUGUUUUUUC